GAUGAACGCUGGCGGCGUGCCUAAUACAUGCAAGUCGAGCGAACAGACGAGGAGCUUGCUCCUCUGACGUUAGCGGCGGACGGGCGAGUAACACGUGGAUCACCUACUUAUAAUACUGGGAUAACUUCGGGAAACCGGUGCUAAUACUGGAUAAUAUAUUCAACCGCAUGGUUCAAUAGUGAAAGACGGUUUUGCUGUCACUUAUAGCUGGAUCCGCGCCGCAUUAGCUAGUUGGUAAGGUAACGGCUUACCAAGGAAACGAUGCGUAGCCGACCUGAGAGGGUGAUCGGCCACACUGGAACUGAGACACGGUCCAGACUCCUACGGGAGGCAGCAGUAGGGAAUCUUCCGCAAUGGGCGAAAGCUUGACGGAGCAACGCCGCGUGGGUGAUGAAGGUCUUCGGAUCGUAAAACUCUGUUAUUGGGGAAGAACAAAUGUGUAAGUAACUAUGCACGUCUUGACGGUACCUAAUCAGAAAGCCACGGCUAACUACGUG
rnacentral:rRNA from 1 species